UACGGAGGGUGCGAGCGUUGUCCGGAAUUAUUGGGCGUAAAGCGCGCGCAGGCGGUCUCUUAAGUCUGAUGUGAAAGCCCACGGCUCAACCGUGGAGGGUCAUUGGAAACUGGGAGACUGGAGUAUAGGAGAGGAAAGUGGAAUUCCACGUGUAGCGGUGAAAUGCGUAGAGAUGUGGAGGAACACCAGUGGCGAAGGCGACUUUCUGGCCUAUUACUGACGCUGAGGCGCGACAGCGUGGGGAGCGAACAGG
rnacentral:rRNA from 1 species